AACGAACGCUGGCGGCAGGCUUAACACAUGCAAGUCGAACGCCCCGCAAGGGGAGUGGCAGACGGGUGAGUAACGCGUGGGAACAUACCCUUUCCUGCGGAAUAGCUCCGGGAAACUGGAAUUAAUACCGCAUACGCCCUACGGGGGAAAGAUUUAUCGGGGAAGGAUUGGCCCGCGUUGGAUUAGCUAGUUGGUGGGGUAAAGGCCUACCAAGGCGACGAUCCAUAGCUGGUCUGAGAGGAUGAUCAGCCACAUUGGGACUGAGACACGGCCCAAACUCCUACGGGAGGCAGCAGUGGGGAAUAUUGGACAAUGGGCGCAAGCCUGAUCCAGCCAUGCCGCGUGAGCGAUGAAGGCCUUAGGGUUGUAAAGCUCUUUCACCGAUGAAGAUAAUGACGGUAGUCGGAGAAGAAGCCCCGGCUAACUUCGUG
rnacentral:rRNA from 1 species